AUGCUGACCAUUGAACUGCGUGUUGUUCAUAAUGCAGAUGGACAAGGGCAAGGAGGUGUGGUGCCACCAUUGGAGAAGGGCAAGGAGGUUGUGCCUCCAUUGGUCGAAGUACUGGUGCAGGAUCACCCAAGCCCCAAGCGGAUGAACUAUGAACACUUCCAUCAGGAGGCAGGACCAAACCACUUCUGCAAGGUUAUCCUUGCUCCAAAGCUGGAGAGUCUGCCAUUGUCUCAGGACUUCACAAAGCACUUCCCCGCCAUCCCUACAGAGUUCAAGCUGAAGACGAACACCGACUGCAUAUGGAGGGUGACCGUGAAGGUGAUCAACGACAGGGUCACCCUUGAUCAGGGUUGGGCCACCUUCGCCGCCGUCCACCAGAUCAUGAUCGGGUACAUGUUCACGUUCAAGUUGUUGUCCCCCGACACCAUGAAGGUGAUCGUCUUGAACGAUGAAGGCGUGGAGGUGGUCACCAAAUGCAAGGAGCACGGCAAUGCCUUCGCCGCGACCGCCUAA
rnacentral:rRNA from 1 species